CAAAAGGUUAAAGUUUCUAACCUGUCAUUACUUAAAAAAAAAAAUUUGUAUUGGCUGUCAUGAUUUUUAAAAUGGCUCUAAGAGGUGAUCACCCAGCCCCCACCUCCCCAGUUGAGAACUGCCUUAUUCUCGCCACCUGUGCUUGAGCUCUAUGAUUGUGUUCACUGAGCCAGGCCAGAGUCGCCUCCUCAGGAAUUUAGAAUUGGGAGAGCAAGACAUGAUGUGGCUCUCUGUGAUCUGUGCAUAGGCCAUUAGAGCAUUGUCAGGCAGCAAAGAAGUGCUGUGACAGCCUCCUGGGAGAAAAGGUAGCCAAUUCUAAGACAGGCAGAAGCCAGGAACAAAUGCCUCCCUCAGGUCUCAGGUGAGACUCAGUCACUGUGUUUGGUGACCUGAGAUGUCUCUGUAGCCUUCUACUACAGUCACGCUGCACAGAACAUUAUGAUCAAUGGCAGGCUGCCUAUGUAACAGCAGUACCAUAAAAUCAUAUUGCCCACAGCCACCUUAGUUUGUGUUAAGUACACUUCAUGAUGGACGGACAAUGAUAAAAUCCUCACCAAUGCAUUUCUCAGAAUGUGCCCCCACCCUCAAGUCACCAGUAACUAUGCUUCUCUUUUUCCACCAAAGCUGUUUUGAAGUGCAUUCCGUUCCAAGCCACCCCCAAGAAAAUUGAUUUUGAUGGUUACACAGCCAUGAGCCCACUCAUUCCUGUUAUUUUCAGUAUUCUUACUUUGAAUUCUGAAGGAAAUUUAGUACAACCCUUUCCAAUGGCAAAUACACAGCAACUGCCUUUGCUUUUCCUCAAAGUAACAAUGAGUUGUCUUUUGUGAUGAAAGAGGAAACCACUGACCAGUGACGGUUGGGCUGGGUUUCUAGCAAGGCAGAGGGAAGGAGCUCUUUUCCUAUCUCCAGACAGGGAUGCCGAGAGCGAAGCUGGGAAACAAAACUAUCCUGAAAUUGUCUUCAAGGAAAUUGUCUUCACGUCUCCCCAUCUGGAAAAUCUCUCAUAUAUCUCAUCUCAAUUCUUCAGCCUUUUUCUCGGGCGAUCAGAGAACAGUUAUUACUGGUCUCUUUCUCGUACCUAUCAGUAAGGUGCUCUUCAGCCUUCUGUUGUUCUAGGCUGGACGACCCAUUUCCUCACUGUGUCAUAGUUCCUGCUCUAUCCAGAGUGGGAUCCAGUUUGCUUUUCCAUUCCUGGCUGCACACCGCCCCCACCUCGCUCAAUUGCUACAUUAAAGUGGAUGUAAAUCAGUCUUCUCUUUCUACCUCCCAAAUGUUCCCUUAGUCUCCUCUCCUGCUUCCCUCUCAUUCCCUGUGCUCACCAGCUCUCACCUCCCCUCUCUCCUGUCUUCCUGCAUCCCACAAAUAACUGCUGAGGAUGGCC
rnacentral:lncRNA from 1 species